GUGCCAGCCGCCGCGGUAACACGUAGGGGGCAAGCGUUGUCCGGAAUUACUGGGCGUAAAGGGCGUGUAGGCGGAUAAUUAAGUCAGAUGUGAAACCUCUGGGCUCAACCCAGAGCAUGCAUCUGAUACUGGUGAUCUUGAGUGUAGAAGAGGAGAGUGGAAUUCCUAGUGUAGCGGUGAAAUGCGUAGAUAUUAGGAGGAACACCAGUGGCGAAGGCGACUCUCUGGUCUACAACUGACGCUGAGGCGCGAAAGCGUGGGUAGCAAACAGGAUUAGAUACCCUGGUAGUCCACGCUGUAAACGAUGGGUACUAGGUGUUGGGGGUUUCGACGCCCUCAGUGCCGGAGUAAACACAUUAAGUACCCCGCCUGGGGAGUACGGUCGCAAGACUGAAACUCAAAGGAAUUGACGGGGGCCCGCACAAGCGGUGGAGCAUGUGGUUUAAUUCGACGCAACGCGAAGAACCUUACCAAGGCUUGACAUCCCUCUGACGGGACUUUAGUAGGUCCGUUCCUUCGGGACAGAGGAGACAGGUGGUGCAUGGUUGUCGUCAGCUCGUGUCGUGAGAUGUUGGGUUAAGUCCCGCAACGAGCGCAACCCUUACUUCUAGUUGCUAACAUUAAGCUGAGCACUCUAGAGGGACUGCCGGUGACAAACCGGAGGAAGGUGGGGAUGACGUCAAAUCAUCAUGCCCCUUAUGUCUUGGGCUACACACGUGCUACAAUGGGCAGUACAGAGGGCUGCGAGACCGUGAGGUGGAGCAAAUCCCUUAAAGCUGUUCUCAGUUCGGAUUGCAGGCUGCAACUCGCCUGCAUGAAGUCGGAAUCGCUAGUAAUCGCAGGUCAGCAUACUGCGGUGAAUACGUUCCCGGGCCUUGUACACACCGCCCGUCACACCACGAAAGUUGGUAACACCCGAAGCCGGUGAGAUAACUGUAAGGAAUCAGCCGUCGAAGGUGGGAUCAAUGAUUGGGGUGAAGUCGUAACAAGGUAACC
rnacentral:rRNA from 1 species